CGGAGAGUGCAAACGUUGUUCGGAUUCACUGGGCGUAAAGGGCACGUAGGCGGCUCGGCAAAUCGGUCGUGGAAUCUCGACGCGGUUACCGUCGAAACGGCGGCCGAAAAUACCGGGCUCGAGGGCGUGAGGGGUCACUGGAACUCCUGGUGAAGCGGUGAAAUGCGUAGAUAUCAGGAGGAACGCCGGAGGCGAAAGCGAGUGACUGGCGCGUUCCUGACGCUGAGGUGCGAAAGCUAGGGGAGCAAACAGGAUUAGAUACCCUGGUAGUCCUAGCCGUAAACGAUGGACACUGAGUGGAGGAGGGCUUGCCUUUCUCUGCUGCAGCUAACGCGUUAAGUGUCCCGCCUGGGGAGUACGGCCGCAAGGUUA
rnacentral:rRNA from 1 species